rnacentral:sRNA from 1 species
GAUAUUGCAAAUGCAGCAUUAGCAGCUAGUGCAGUAACACAAGUAGCCAAGGUUUUUGACCAAUAUCUCAAUUUUAUUACUUUGGAAGAUGAUAUGUUUGUAUUAUGUAAUCAAAAUAAGGAGCUUGUUUCAUAUCGUGCCAUUAACAGGCCAGAUAUCACAGACACGGAAAUGGAAACUGUUAUGGACACUAUAGUUGACAGCCUCUUCUGCUUUUUUGUUACUCUGGGUGCUGUUCCUAUAAUCAGAUGUUCAAGAGGAACAGCAGCAGAAAUGGUAGCAGUGAAACUAGACAAGAAACUUCGAGAAAAUCUAAGAGAUGCAAGAAACAGUCUUUUUACAGGUGAUACACUUGGAGCUGGCCAAUUCAGCUUCCAGAGGCCCUUAUUAGUCCUUGUUGACAGAAACAUAGAUUUGGCAACUCCUUUACAUCAUACUUGGACAUAUCAAGCAUUGGUGCAUGAUGUACUGGUAAGAGACUAAAUACAGCACUUAUUACUGAAAUAUAGUAACAUGCAGUGUUCCCUUUAAUUUAAAAUUAACAUCAUGGCUACAGAAACAAAAAUGAGAAGGAUGGAACUGAGACCUAUGAACAAAACAAGUGAUGAGAUUUGGUAUUACUGGGCGUGGAUGCUGGAAAAUGUGAAGCAUUGAAGUUUAGUUUCAAAUUUAUGAUCUUUAUAGGGUAAAGUAGUGGUUUUGUUGGCCAUGGAAAAGAAGAAAAAGAAAACAAUUGAAGAAAUGGAUUAUCUUGUUUUAUUUUUAAUUUUCUAACUGAAUAAGUAAAUAAAUGUGUUCUCCCUUAGGAGAAAAGCUGUAAUUUCUCCCUUUUCUCUGGGAAUCAGUUAAACCUCAUUUUACGU